AUGGUCUUCAUCGGAAUCUUUGAAGAUCCUUCAAGAGCAGCUAGAGCUUACAUAAAAUGUGAUAACUUGAAGAAUGCACGAAAGAUGUUUGAUAAAACGCUUGAGAGAAUCAAUGGGAGACAUGAAAGAAGAAUUGCUGCCAAUGUUGGAUCAUUGCUAAGAGACAAGGAUGAUGUAAUCGUGGCUACACCUUAUACUGAUUCUAUUUUGGAGUACCAUGUUGUUAUUCAUAGCCAAAUAGAAAACUUGGGAGAUGGUUCAUUUUUUGUUAGCUGUGAUCAAAGAUAA